GACGAACGCUGGCGGCGUGCCUAAUACAUGCAAGUCGAACGCUUCUUUCCUCCCGAGUGCUUGCCCUCAAUUGGAAAGAGGAGUGGCGGACGGGUGAGUAACACGUGGGUAACCUACCCAUCAGAGGGGGAUAACACUUGGAAACAGGUGCUAAUACCGCAUAACAGUUUAUGCCGCAUGGCAUAAGAGUGAAAGGCGCUUUCGGGUGUCGUUGAUGGAUGGACCCGCGGUGCAUUAGCUAGUUGGUGAGGUAACGGCUCACCAAGGCCACGAUGCAUAGCCGACCUGAGAGGGUGAUCGGCCACACUGAGACUGAGACACGGCCCAGACUCCUACGGGAGGCAGCAGUAGGGAAUCUUCGGCAAUGGACGAAAGUCUGACCGAGCAACGCCGCGUGAGUGAAGAAGGUUUUCGGAUCGUAAAACUCUGUUGUUAGAGAAGAACAAGGACGUUAGUAACUGAACGUCCCCUGACGGUAUCUAACCAGAAAGCCACGGCUAACUACGU
rnacentral:rRNA from 1 species